GACGAACGCUGGCGGCGUGCUUAACACAUGCAAGUCGAACGAUGAAGUUCCUUCGGGGAUGGAUUAGUGGCGAACGGGUGAGGAACACGUGAAGAAUCUGCCCUCCACUUUGGGAUAACUCCGGGAAACCGGGGCUAAUACCGAAUAUUGAAACAUAAGCGGCAUCGCUGAGUUUUGAAAGAAUUUCGGUGGAGGAUGACUUCGCGGCCUAUCAGCUUGUUGGUGAGGUAAUGGCUCACCAAGGCAACGACGGGUAGCCGGCCUGAGAGGGCGACCGGCCACACUGGGACUGAGACACGGCCCAGACUCCUACGGGAGGCAGCAGUGGGGAAUAUUGGGCAAUGGACGCAAGUCUGACCCAGCGACGCCGCGUGCGGGAUGAAGGCCUUCGGGUUGUAAACCGCUUUCAGCAGGGAAGAA
rnacentral:rRNA from 1 species